GCAAGUCGAGCGCGCCCUUCGGGGUGAGCGGCGGACGGGUGAGUAACGCGUGGGAAUAUGCCCUUCUCUAAGGAAUAGCCUCUGGAAACGGAGAGUAAUACCGUAUACGCCCUUCGGGGGAAAGAUUUAUCGGUGAGGAUUAGCCCGCGUCUGAUUAGAUAGUUGGUGGGGUAAUGGCCUACCAAGUCUACGAUCAGUAGCUGGUUUGAGAGGAUGAUC
rnacentral:rRNA from 1 species